GCUUAACGCGAAGAACCUUACCAAGGCUUGACAUACACGAGAACGGGCCAGAAAUGGUCAACUCUUUGGACACUCGUGAACAGGUGGUGCAUGGUUGUCGUCAGCUCGUGUCGUGAGAUGUUGGGUUAAGUCCCGCAACGAGCGCAACCCUCGUCGCAUGUUGCCAGCACGUUAUGGUGGGGACUCAUGUGAGACUGCCGGGGUCAACUCGGAGGAAGGUGGGGAUGACGUCAAAUCAUCAUGCCCCUUAUGUCUUGGGCUUCACGCAUGCUACAAUGGCCGGUACAAAGGGCUGCGAUGUCGUAAGGCGGAGCGAAUCCCAAAAAGCCGGUCUCAGUUCGGAUUGAGGUCUGCAACUCGACCUCAUGAAGUCGGAGUCGCUAGUAAUCGCAGAUCAGCAACGCUGCGGUGAAUACGUUCCCGGGUCUUGUACACACCG
rnacentral:rRNA from 1 species